rnacentral:rRNA from 1 species
UACGUAGGUGGCAAGCGUUGUCCGGAAUUAUUGGGCGUAAAGCGCGCGCAGGCGGUCCUUUAAGUCUGAUGUGAAAGCCCACGGCUCAACCGUGGAGGGUCAUUGGAAACUGGGGGACUUGAGUGCAGGAGAGAAGAGUGGAAUUCCACGUGUAGCGGUGAAAUGCGUAGAUAUCUGGAGGAAUACCGGUGGCGAAGGCGGCGUUCUGGACUGCAACUGACACUGAUGAACGAAAGCCAGGGGAGCAAACGGG